rnacentral:rRNA from 1 species
ACAUACGACCAUAGACUCAAGAGAAUUGGGCAUCCCGUCCGCUCUGCCAUACACAAGCUUGAGAUCGGUGGAUUAGUAGUUGGGUGGGUGACCACCAGCUGGGUGGGUGACCACCAGCCGGUGGAUUAGUAGUUGGGUGGGUGACCACCAGCGAAUACCCACUGUUGUAUGUU